CUGCGAGGAAGUAGUUUGUAAAACACGAGGAAAUAUGCACUGGGUUAGAGCCGAUGCCUCAGAUUUUGGUGGAAAUCUCCCAAUUGCGCGAAGUGGUCACACUGCGGUGAACGUUGGAAAAUCGAAAGUUGUUGUAUUUGGAGGUUUCGCCGAUCGAAGAUUUCUAGUUGAUAUCUUUGUAUUUGACGUUGACAAUGGUAUAUGGUUUACUCCUGACUGCACAGGAAGUGGAUCUGAUGGGCAGGUAGGGCCAGCUCCACGUGCAUUUCAUAUUGCUGUUGCCAUUGAUUGCCACAUGUUCAUUUUUGGAGGGCGUUCAGGAAGCAAGAGGUUGGGUGAUUUUUGGAUGCUUGAUACUGAUAUUUGGCAAUGGUCAGAACUCACUGGCUUUGGUGACUUGCCAUCACCAAGGGAGUUUGCUGCUGCUUCAUCUAUUGGAAAUCGAAAAAUCGUUAUGUAUGGUGGUUGGGAUGGUAAAAAAUGGUUGUCAGAUAUCUAUAUCUUAGACACAAUAUCACUCGAGUGGACAGAACUAUCAAUUACUGGUUCUGCACCGCCUCCAAGGUGUGGGCAUACAGCCACCAUGGUUGAGAAGCGACUGCUUGUCUUUGGUGGAAGAGGAGGUGGUGGACCUAUAAUGGGAGAUUUAUGGGCUUUGAAGGGUCUUAUUGAAGAAGAGAACGAAAUGCCAGGUUGGACUCAGUUAAAGCUUCCUGGACCAUCACCCUCCCCUCGCUGUGGCCACUCAAUAACUUCUGGAGGGCCCUACCUCUUGGUAUUUGGCGGGCAUGGUACCGGAGGUUGGCUAAGCCGUUAUGACAUCUACCACAAUGAUUGCAUUGUCUUGGAUAGAAUCUCUGUUCAGUGGAAGCGUUUAUCUACUAACAACGAUCCUCCUCCUACGAGAGCCUAUCACUCCAUGACCUGUAUUGGUGCACGUUAUCUUUUAUUUGGUGGCUUUGAUGGGAAAACUACAUUUGGUGAUAUAUGGUGGCUGGUUCCAGAAGAUGACCCUAUUGCCAGACGGCCUCUUCCACGUCUUCCAAAUAUUUCUUCUGAGAGUGAAUCCAUAAUUUCAAAUCAGUCAGCACAAUCUGUGCUACAGGAAAAUCUACUAGGCCAAGAUGCGGUUUUAGAGUUGCAAAAAAAGUUGGGAAUUUCAAUUUCCUCCUCUGAUGCUCAGAUAAAGGUUGUUGAUGAUGUGAAUGACAAAGAACUUUUGGAGUUAUCUGCCAAAUUAGCUGGAGAAGUGCUUCCUGCCAGUGAUCACGCUGUGUCCAUACAGGCACCACGUGAGCACUGGAAGGAUUGUGCUCCAAAUUCAAUACAACUGCAUGAGCUUGAUGCACUACUUCGGGACUACCAACGUCUUAUAAUCAAUCAACACAAGUGUCGUGCGCGCUUCACGGAGCCAAAACACAGUUGCAAAAUUUAAAGGACCUACAUAAUUAUGCUGGGUCCUUUGGUUGGCUUUUGCAUACCUAUGCUAGGCAUGCCAUAGCUAUGUUGCUUCUAGCGUAGCUACACCAACGUCCUUCCAGAUGCGUAUUUUGGCAAAUUUGACAUGUUUGGAGGCUGUUUUGAAGCCCUUAUCUUUGUAAGGAGAUGUAUGAAGACCAAAACAAUAUUUUUGUCCUUUGGGGAUUUACCUCUAAGGUUAAAGAGAGUCUUUAGGGCUCUAGGAUUUCUCUCUAGGGUUUGCUCGAGAGAGCUUUUGCUAUUUUCCUCGUCAUGUUUUUCUGUUGAGAGUUUGGAGGUUGAGGAGAGAUUGAGUGCAAUUAUAUGAGGGAGAUCUAUGAAAAACUUGAAUUGAACGGGGAGGAUCACAGUGUAUUGUAAAGACUGCUUGACUCGGUUACGAAGCUUAUUAUCAAACUUGUUACCAGAUGCAUCCAAUCACGGACAUGAGGUUUACCGCUUUUUUCAUGUGAAGAA